rnacentral:rRNA from 1 species
GAUGAACGCUGGCGGCGUGCCUAAUACAUGCAAGUCGAGCGAACGGACGAGAAGCUUGCUUUUCUGAUGUUAGCGGCGGACGGGUGAGUAACACGUGGAUAACCUACCUAUAAGACUGGGAUAACUUCGGGAAACCGGAGCUAAUACCGGAUAAUAUUUUGAACCGCAUGGUUCAAAAGUGAAAGACGGUCUUGCUGUCACUUAUAGAUGGAUCCGCGCUGCAUUAGCUAGUUGGUAAGGUAACGGCUUACCAAGGCAACGAUGCAUAGCCGACCUGAGAGGGUGAUCGGCCAAACUGGAACUGAGACACGGUCCAGACUCCUACGGGAGGCAGCAGUAGGGAAUCUUCCGCAAUGGGCGAAAGCCUGACGGAGCAACGCCGCGUGAGUGAUGAAGGUCUUCGGAUCGUAAAACUCUGUUAUUAGGGAAGAACAUAUGUGUAAGUAACUGUGCACAUCUUGACGGUACCUAAUCAGAAAGCCACGGCCAACUACGUG